CUGCAAGCCUGGGGUCGCCUCUGGCCCUCUCUGGUCCACCGUGCCUAGCUGGUGAUAGCAGGAGUUCUGUUAUUACAUAAAUCAGCUGAAGAAACCGAGGCAGAGAGGUGAAGACCAUCACCUGGCCCAGACCAAGCCCUUCACCAUUAAGAAAUGUAACAGGACCCACUGCGCACCUGCACCCUUCUAGACUCUGACGUUUCCACAGGGAACAAAACAGGAGAUUCCAGCCUCGUAGGACACCAGCGAGAGCACCUCCAGGAGAAGCCAGCAGGGUGACAGGAAUGGCCCCUCGAAGGAGGUGACACCUGAGCAGAGACCUGAGGGAGGGACAGGUCACAUACUGGACACGCUCCCAUCAGCUGGACACCCACCCCAAUCGAUACCCACUACGCAAGUGGACCCCAAACCUGGGCAGCAGGCAAAGUCAAAAGCAGUCCAGGGAGCCAGGGUCCAAAAGCUGGAGACAUUUCUGAAGGUUGUCAAUCUGUGAGGACAGACAUAGAGCCUGGAACUGAAGAUUUGGAUAACCCACGUGCACUGGGGCCAAGAGAUA